rnacentral:rRNA from 1 species
ACAGUUCGGUCCCUAUCCGUCGCGGGCGCAGGAAAUUUGAGAGGAGCUGUCCUUAGUACGAGAGGACCGGGAUGGACGCACCGCUGGUGUACCAGUUGUUCCGCCAGGAGCAUCGCUGGGUAGCUAUGUGCGGCAGGGAUAAACGCUGAAAGCAUCUAAGCGUGAAGCCCCCCUCAAGAUGAGAUUUCCCAUUUCUUCGGAAAGUAAGAUCCCUGAAAGAUGAUCAGGUAGAUAGGUUUGGAGUGGAAGUAUGGCAACAUAUGGAGCGGACAAAUACUAAUCGAUCGAGGACUUAACCAA